rnacentral:rRNA from 1 species
CGUUGCACUAUCGUUAACUGAAUACAUAGGUUAACGAGGCGAACCGGGGGAACUGAAACAUCUAAGUACCCCGAGGAAAAGAAAUCAACCGAGAUUCCCCCAGUAGCGGCGAGCGAACGGGGAGCAGCCCGGAGUCUGAAUCAGCUUGUGUGUUAGUGGAACGGUCUGGAAAGUCCGACGGUACAGGGUGAUAGUCCCGUACACGAAAGCACACAUGCUGUGAACUCGAAGAGUAGGGCGGGACACGUGGUAUCCUGUCUGAAUAUGGGGGGACCAUCCUCCAAGGCUAAAUACUCCUGACUGACCGAUAGUGAACCAGUACCGUGAGGGAAAGGCGAAAAGAACCCCGGCGAGGGGAGUGAAAAAGAACCUGAAACCGUGUACGUACAAGCAGUGGGAGCCUCUUUAUGGGGUGACUGCGUACCUUUUGUAUAAUGGGUCAGCGACUUAUAUUCUGUAGCAAGGUUAACCGUAUAGGGGAGCCGAAGGGAAACCGAGUCUUAACUGGGCGUUAAGUUGCAGGGUAUAGACCCGAAACCCGGUGAUCUAGCCAUGGGCAGGUUGAAGGUUGGGUAACACUAACUGGAGGACCGAACCGACUAAUGUUGAAAAAUUAGCGGAUGACCUGUGGCUGGGGGUGAAAGGCCAAUCAAACCGGGAGAUAGCUGGUUCUCCCCGAAAGCUAUUUAGGUAGCGCCUCGUGAACUCAUCUUCGGGGGUAGAGCACUGUUUCGGCUAGGGGGCCAUCCCGGCUUACCAACCCGAUGCAAACUACGAAUACCGAAGAAUGUUAUCACGGGAGACACACGGCGGGUGCUAACGUCCGUCGUGAAGAGGGAAACAACCCAGACCGCCAGCUAAGGUCCCAAAGUCAUGGUUAAGUGGGAAACGAUGUGGGAAGGCACAGACAGCCAGGAUGUUGGCUUAGAAGCAGCCAUCAUUUAAAGAAAGCGUAAUAGCUCACUGGUCGAGUCGGCCUGCGCGGAAGAUGUAACGGGGCUAAACCAUGCACCGAAGCUGCGGCAGCGACGCUUAUGCGUUGUUGGGUAGGGGAGCGUUCUGUAAGCCGUUGAAGGUGUCCUGUGAGGGGUGCUGGAGGUAUCAGAAGUGCGAAUGCUGACAUAAGUAACGAUAAAGCGGGUGAAAAGCCCGCUCGCCGGAAGACCAAGGGUUCCUGUCCAACGUUAAUCGGGGCAGGGUGAGUCGACCCCUAAGGCGAGGCCGAAAGGCGUAGUCGAUGGGAAACAGGUUAAUAUUCCUGUACUUGGUGUUACUGCGAAGGGGGGACGGAGAAGGCUAUGUCAGCCGGGCGACGGUUGUCCCGGUUUAAGCAUGUAGGCGGAGGUUCCAGGUAAAUCCGGUACCUUAUUAACGCUGAGGUGUGAUGACGAGGCACUACGGUGCUGAAGUGAUAAAUGCCCUGCUUCCAGGAAAAGCCUCUAAGCAUCAGGUAACACGAAAUCGUACCCCAAACCGACACAGGUGGUCAGGUAGAGAAUACCAAGGCGCUUGAGAGAACUCGGGUGAAGGAACUAGGCAAAAUGGUGCCGUAACUUCGGGAGAAGGCACGCUGAUGUGUAGGUGAAGUCCCUGCGGACGGAGCUGAAAUCAGUCGAAGAUACCAGCUGGCUGCAACUGUUUAUUAAAAACACAGCACUGUGCAAACACGAAAGUGGACGUAUACGGUGUGACGCCUGCCCGGUGCCGGAAGGUUAAUUGAUGGGGUUAGCGGCAACGCGAAGCUCUUGAUCGAAGCCCCGGUAAACGGCGGCCGUAACUAUAACGGUCCUAAGGUAGCGAAAUUCCUUGUCGGGUAAGUUCCGACCUGCACGAAUGGCGUAAUGAUGGCCAGGCUGUCUCCACCCGAGACUCAGUGAAAUUGAACUCGCUGUGAAGAUGCAGUGUACCCGCGGCAAGACGGAAAGACCCCGUGAACCUUUACUAUAGCUUGACACUGAACACUGGUCCUUGAUGUGUAGGAUAGGUGGGAGGCUUUGAAGCGUGGACGCCAGUCUGCGUGGAGCCAACCUUGAAAUACCACCCUUUAAUGGCUGGUGUUCUAACGUAGACCCGUAAUCCGGGUUGCGGACAGUGUCUGGUGGGUAGUUUGACUGGGGCGGUCUCCUCCCAAAGAGUAACGGAGGAGCACGAAGGUUGGCUAAUCCUGGUCGGACAUCAGGAGGUUAGUGCAAUGGCAUAAGCCAGCUUGACUGCGAGCGUGACGGCGCGAGCAGGUGCGAAAGCAGGUCAUAGUGAUCCGGUGGUUCUGAAUGGAAGGGCCAUCGCUCAACGGAUAAAAGGUACUCCGGGGAUAACAGGCUGAUACCGCCCAAGAGUUCAUAUCGACGGCGGUGUUUGGCACCUCGAUGUCGGCUCAUCACAUCCUGGGGCUGAAGUAGGUCCCAAGGGUAUGGCUGUUCGCCAUUUAAAGUGGUACGCGAGCUGGGUUUAGAACGUCGUGAGACAGUUCGGUCCCUAUCUGCCGUGGGCGCUGGAGAAUUGAGGGGGGCUGCUCCUAGUACGAGAGGACCGGAGUGGACGCAUCACUGGUGUUCGGGUUGUCAUGCCAAUGGCACUGCCCGGUAGCUAAAUGCGGAAGAGAUAAGUGCUGAAAGCAUCUAAGCACGAAACUUGCCCCGAGAUGAGUUCUCCCUGAGACCUUGAGUCUCCUGAAGGAACGUUGAAGACGACGACGUUGAUAGGUCGGGUGUGUAAGCGCAGCGAUGCGUUGAGCUAACCGAUACUAAUGAACCGUGAGGCUUAACCUU